AUGGAGUACAAGGGGCAGCUUCAGCUGGAGAAGAAGGGUUCCCAGGAAGAAGAAGCCAUGGCGAUGGCGGCCUCGUCCCCUUCCUUCUUCCUAUGGCACCCCUUGUCUCUACUGCAUCACGUCACCCGCAGCUGCGCAGGCUACCUGGGCCUCUCUCGCCUCUGCCACGCCCUCAAGGAUCUGAAGCCUCGCGCCGCUACUUCACCUCCCGCAGCUACCUCUUCCCAGCUGCAUGAUGCAGAGGCCGGAGCAGGAGGCGCUGGACACGCUGCACAUGAUGAUCGCGCGGCCGUCGAAGUGCGCUCGAGAGGGGUGCCCCAGAGGCCUCGUGGUCCAAGAGAAGGACGAGGAGGAACACAUCAUUAG
rnacentral:rRNA from 1 species